UAUAUAGUAGCUGUUAACACAAUACAUCUGAGAUAAUAGUAUUGUUAUUGCUGGCAGCAGAGAGUGGUAGUUACUAAGUAUAUUUUUUCUGGACGUGCAGUCCUGACUUUGAACCCCUUUUGGUUUGAGGCAGAACUACUGCUAUUGGCAUUUCUAGCACUAAGUCUACAUGAUAUUUUAAAGAAUUUGUUGAGAGCUCUUAAAUUAUUACUAUUAUUAUCAAGAAAUAGAUUUGUUAUGUCUGUUUUUGUGAUUUAUUAACUGAAAUUCUGUAAUCCUUGCCUUAAGCUUACAAGCAUUCUUCUUAGUUUGAUUUUUAAAAUACCCUCAGAAACCAUUAAUGUUCACGAGAAGUAAGAAAUCUUUGCAAUAAUAUUUCGUUGUAUCAUCAUAUUUUUUCUUUCCUGAAAAACCAAUGAAGAAUGGCAGUUUUAUAUGUAAAACAGUAGUUAGCCUUUAUAUGGAUGACAUUUUCCUAAAAGCCUAGAAAAAUUUCACAUUUGCAGAAAAAUACUCUGUUCCCAUAUUAAAUCUGAUUAAAAUUCAAAUCUAUAUUAACAUCUCAUUACUUUUUGAAAAAAGUGAAUGCCACACUUAAUGGAAAAUGCUCACUGUCUGUCUCACUGCUUUUGUGGGAUUCUUAGCAAGGCUGUCCUGGGAUCCGGGAGGGCUGGACCACAGCUACAUCCUUGUUAAAACAGUCACCCGGCGUGAAUGUUGGCCUUUAGUUUUUCCUUCCUUUCCCCUCUCCCAUCCCUACAUUGUUUCAGCUGCCAGCUCCCUAAUAUUUUUCUCUGAAGCAAGGGAAAGGGAAGGGCAAAAAUGACUUAGAAAGAAUAACAUUUCUUUCUAUGGACUUAAAUAGAACAUUCAACACAAAACAUCCUGUGUUUUCUUUUAGUUGAUGACACACUGACUGUAGGAAUGAAUGAACUAAAAACCAGGGCUUGAUUUUCAAAUGGGGGUUAUUUUAGUUGCAUACUACCUGAUCAAGGGAAAGUUGUUCAACUAUUUUAAAUUAUAACCUGUUCGUUUCUCCUCUAUACUCCGGAUCUCCUUAUCUUGCUGUGCGUUUCUUUUCUCCAUUUUACAUAUCACCUUCUAACAUGUGUUUAUUAUGUUUUUUGUUUAUUUUCCCACUCUCCUGGCCAUGAUGGAAGUCCAUGAGAGCAAGCAUCUUCGUCCAUUUUGCUCACUGUUGGAUUCCCUGUUUUAAAAAUAUCACCUGGCCCAGCAAAAAUUUUGGAAACCUUCAUCUAGAAAGUGGUCUAGCAAAGUGUGGCCCAUGGAUGAGUUUGAUCUGCAAACUGCUUGUUAUUGGUUCAUGACCAGAAUUGGUUCCAAACAGUAAAGCCUGCCAGAAAAAACAGACAAACUCUCAAGAACAACAAUGCCCAUUAUGUGUGGAGUGGAAGCUGCCAGACUUUGAUUACUGGCCAGACAUUAACCCCUUUGGUGUCUUAGAGGGGAAAAUGCCAAGUCUGAAUCCAGACAUUUCCAGGAUUUUACAGUCAUUCAUGGUGUGAGACCAGGCGAUUUAUAAUGACUUGUGCAAAAGAAAAGACUACUGGGAGAAGGAAGUGCAAGUCAAAGGCCACGUCUACUUGCUUCCUGAAUUCUGCCAUGACUAAUUCCAGCAAGCGGACAUAGACCUGAUCACCUCUGCUUUUCCCUUUGCUAGCCUGCCUGGUCAUGGAUGAGAAGCACGCUGCUCUUGCUACCUUCGUGUGGUGGUUUGGGUCCUGAAACAUCCACCUAUUUUCAGAACAAACUAAAAUAAUUUCUUAAUUUCUUGAGGUCACAUUUGCAUUAUUUGUAAAAUUAAAACAAUGUUACCUAACCUAUGGCUAUAGUGGGAGAGUAGAGAGGGAUUGACACAUAGAAGUUGGUCAGUAAAUGUUAGCUAUCAUCGUCAUCGUUAUCAUCAUCAACAUCAUCAUCCAAGGGUUGGAUGAGGUUUUUGUGUUUUUGUCCAGGUGUCAGAAGGAGGCUGGCAAAUUUGGCACUCACAGAGGGAAACCUAUGUGCUUCGUGAGAUCAUUGCUUACAGUACAACUGCUACCAAGAACAUUCCCUGCAAACUCUUUUGUGAUCAGUUUCUUCCCUUCUCUCAUAUACCCUCUGCAGGUCUACUAAUUGCAUUUUGAGAGCUCAGAUAAGCAGAGAGCAAUGCAAUUGUCACGGAAGGAUGAUUAUGUAUAUGCACUGUCAUGUGUAUGUAUGUGUAUGUAUAUACAGUAUGUGUAUAUAUGCAUAUGUAUAUACAGUAUGUGUAUUUCAUUUGUUCUUUUAUCUUAUACUUCAAUAUGUAUUUAUUGACAAUUUAUUAUGAGAGGCUGAGAAUACCAAGUUAAUUAUAAUUAAUUAUAAUAAUAGCUACCAUUUAUCAAGAACAUAUUGCAUAUCAACAUUAUGCUAAAUAUUUCAUAUACAUAUACCUUAAUGCAUUUAGUCACUUAAAAAACUUUAUGAAAUAGCCCCAUUUUAUACAUUAGUAAACCGAGUUCCGGAAAACUCAAGGGCAUGCAGCUAGUUAAUGUCAGAGCUAGGAUUCACAUUCAGAUCUCUUCGAUGCAAAACCCAUACCGUUAAUCACUUUGUUAAAUUGCCUUCCCAAAGAUGAAUAACAUGAUACAAAGGCAUUUACCUGCUUUCUUGGAAUUCACAAUCUGGUUGGCAAGAUAGGCAUAUGAUGCAGAACAUAAAAGGCUAUAUACAGCUAUGUACAAAAUACCAUGCUUAACUCAUUCUCUUGCGGGGUGGGAGAAGGUGGGAGAGGCUAGAGGAAGGCCUCAUAGGGCAAGUAGUGCUUGAGCUAUGCCUCUGGGGUGUGGGAUAUUCACGCAGCAGAGAGAGAAAAGGUGGAGGCUGGAGAGGAGAGAGAGAGCGAGAAAGGGAGAGAGAGGGGGAAGGAGGGAGAGAGAGAUUUCAGCUGGGUGUGACUUUGUUUUGUAGGAUGAGACGUAGACUUGUUCAGGUGCAAAGAGACAUCUGGAACUAGUUAGUGGGAAGUUCUUCAAGGCUGUUUCUCCACUGACCAAGCCCAUAUAUUUUUCCUCUUUGUUCCCCUUUAGCUAUUUCCAUCCCUAACUCAAAGGAGACACAGGAAGAAAGUGAGCUCAGCCUGGGUAAAUUGGAGGUUGUGAUGACUUCUAGGAAGCCUCAGGAAAGAGAAACAGACAACACUGGCCUGCUGCUCUCUGCAAUGGUGGGACCCUUGUGGGAUAACUGUUUUAGGAAUGAAGGUGUCUACCCUCUCUAGAAAUGAAAAUGCAAGUUUGGCUGUGGUUAAGUAUUGGAUGGAGGCAAAAAGAAACUGACAUAUUUGCUUCUUUUCAAUUGUUUGAUUCACCCUGAAGGGCAUGGCUGCCUAAUUUUUUUCUCCAGAGAUAGGUGGACAGAUAAAGACAGGAAAGUAACAUCCACAGACUGCCCUCUGUGAAGGUGACAGUGAUGAAGGGAAUGGUUGAUCUGAACACUGGUAAAUAAAGUGACCGCAUAUUUCCCUAGCCAGGAGAGCAAUCUGGCUCAAAAGAAACGAGAACAAUGACAUUACUGCCAGGCUGCUCCUAAGCCUUUGGCUAUUCUGUUCAGUACACAUAAAAAGCAGUGAACAUAACUGUGACCUGCCUUGUUGGCAACCACAGUAUCACAAUUCUUUGGGGCUCCACUUUGAGAAAUUGAGACCUACCUACCUUAACCCUGGGGGGGUUAAGCUUUCAGACUGGAAUGAUAACUGAACUAUUCCUUUGCAGUAAUUCUGGGCUUUGUGCGUAUUUUAAAAAGGAAUACCAGGCUUGCCUAUAUUCAUUACAAAGUCCUCCCAGCUUUCAAAUCUUCCAAUACAACGCCUCUUCUCUAGUGCUUUAAGCACAUCCUGUGACUGGAUAUGAUUAUGGGAGAUUUACAUGCAUCCUUGUCUAUUGUAUCAAAAGAUCAGGGAAUAAAAUGCCCAUCAUUAAAAGCCCAAAGUGAUUGGAUUGGCAUGAGGAAUGGGGAUGGGGCUGGCAUGGAAGAGAGGGUUCUGACUCUGAGAUUUCAUGAAAUGCAAAACAAUAGGACAGCUGCUCUUCCAUAAACAGAUUAUUAUUAUUAUUUCUACCUAGACAGCUUGAUAGCAGCCAUUAUCUUCUUUCUGGGUGUCUUAUCAAGUUCCGGCUGUGUGCAGCAUGGGUGAUAAGGAAUGAGAAAUGUCACCCAUGGGAUUGCCAAGGAUUAUUUCUAUGCACUGCUGUUCAGCAACAGCCAAUCUCUCAGAACUGAGAAGUAGUCCUAUUGUUCACGCUGGGCAGUUGCUAUUCUGACUAUCCCAAGAGAGUAGAAAAGGGAUGUAGUUGCCAUUGUGCAAAAGAUUGAUAUUUCAUUACUCUCAGCUAAAGUUCAAGCAGUCUUGAUUUUGAAAAGCAGAAUCAUCAUGAAAUAUCUUUGAAGAGAGAGAAGACAAGGGAAGAAAAGAAGAAUGAAAUGAGUUCAGAGCUUUUUAGAACUGUGAGGGAGUGCGAAAAAAGAAAGGUGUAAUACUUUCAAACAGUGGAAGUUAAAAUGCCAGGCAUCUAAGCCUCAGUGAAAUUGAGCAGCAUCACAUCACCAUGACUCGUGGUCCAGCUGUUUAUUGCAAAGACUCCAUCCUGCAUUACUCAUCAGAAAAUAGUUAACUUUGUAUCUGGCAUUAUUUUAAUUUUAAAAAAAGUUAACUUACUAGAUUUCUGUUUGUCUGUGUUUCAUACAAGCUUCUUGAAUGAAAAUAAUCUGUUGAUAUUUAACAUUUUUCCUUUCCUUCUCAAUGAGAAAAUAAAUGUUUUAUUAUACAUGCAGAUGUGCCAGCUAAAUAUUUCAGGAAAAAAAAAUCUGUUCGUCGUUUUGUUCCAGUAUCUCAGCUUUCCAAACCUGUAUCUUCCCAGAGAAAAGACUGCAUUAGAAAAAAAUUAAAACUAAAGUGUAUGACUAACCCGUAGUGUAUUCAUAGAGAAUUCCCCCCAAAGUGUUCUGAGUGCUUUAGUCUUCUUUAUACAUGGUUUUAGGGUCAUGCUGAUAUUAUAAUCUAAGCUGCUUGGAAGUGAGCCAAGUCAAAUUUUUCCAACAUUUUAAAUCACUAUUCUGAAACUGGAAUUUCAAAUGAAUAAAAUGCUUUGCUCUUAAACCAACGACUUCAGAAAUGAGAUCCUACUCAGGAAUUAUUACAAUGGGAAGUGAGAGGAGGUUGGGAAGGUAAAGGGCAAAAGGAGGGCAUGGAGGGAGAAAGGAGGAUGCAGGAAAAGAGGAAGGAGCUUUGACUCCCCUGUGAUGCAUGAGCUCCAGGAGGGCAAGAGCCUUCCCUUUAUGUUUGUACAACACCUCCUACAGAGUAAGCACUCAGGGGAUAUUUGUUAAAUGAAUUAGUGAGAGGGGCAUAGAAAAAAAGCUUUUGGUAUUAAGAUAUGCAAAGGAAUAUUCCCGUAACAAAAUACAUUAUUUUAGUUUUUCAGCCCUUAAGCAUUUACUGGGAAACGUAGAGAUUCUCCAACUUUAAUACACAUAUUAAUUACCUGAGAGCCUUGUAAAAAAAUCCAGAUUCUGAUUUAGUAGGCCUGGGAUAGGCUGAGAGAUUCUGCAUUUCUGUGAAGCUCCCAAGGGAUGCAGAUGCUACUGGCUCAUGGAAUACGCUCUGAAUAACAAUGUGUUAGAGUAGUGCAUGGGGUACUGGGCUGGGGGUCAUGAGCUCUGAGUUCUAAUCUCUGACAUGAACCACAUGUGCUUUUAAGCCAGGUGAUUAGCUUUCCUAGUCUCAGUCUCCCCAUGUAGCUAAUGACUGGUUGGAUCUACAAAAUUUCUAGAGUUCUUACAGCCUUAAUAUUUUGAAAGUUAAAAAGAAAAGAAAGGACUUAGAGAAUGCCCAGUUUAACUCUGUGUCUUGAAAUCCUGGGGAGGCAAAAUCAAAAUCACUUCCUUCCAAAGUUGCACAGGGGAUUUGUCCUGUGUGAAUUGUGCUACAGCUGAUUCCCUGGUUUCUAGUACAGUAAUUUUUCCACUCCCAUUUCUUUUGUCAUUGUUAUUUCUUGUGGAAUACUUAGAAUUUGUCUGAUGCUAUGCUAGGUGCUGGGAAUACGAAGAUGCAUUAGAAAUACAUUAUUAUAAUUUAUUAUCCAAUUCCUUGCUUGAGUAACAUGCUGAAGAUGACAACUAAUCCCUGCAAAUGUGUAGCAUGUGUGCUGAUAUUAGGGUUCCCCCUUCCAUGAUAUAAUAAUGGCUACAGUAGAAUGUUUGCAACAGUGACCGAAUUCUCCAAUUCUCCCCAUAUCCAUCCAUUCCCUUUUCUAUGUGAUUUUGCAGCUUAUCAUAUCAAAAAGUGGAAUUUCUUUCCCCAGCCCUUGACUCUGGAAUGGUCUGUGAUUUGCUUUUACCAAGAGAAUGCAGUGGAAGGAACGACAUGCCAGCUCUACACCCCGGUCUGAAGAGGCCAUACCCACUUUUGUUACUUCUCUCAGGAUCCUGCUGCUGCCAUAAGAACAAGCCUGGGGUAGCCUCCUGGAGGAUGAACGUUCACAAGUGACCUACCAUCCCAGAGGAGGCCAACUUAGAGCAGCCUACACCCAGCCAUCUACAAAUAUGUGCGGAAGUCCAACCAAGAGCAACAGAGCUGCUUACUCAACCCACAGCUGACCACCGAUGCACAAGUGAGCUCAGAUGAGGCCAGAACUGCUCAGCUGAGCCAUAAGCUUGUGAGCAAUAAUAAACUUUUGAAGCCACUUAGUUUUGGGAGGCUUUGUUUUGCAGCAUGGCUAAGUGGUAUGAUGGCCUUCUGGAUGCAAAGCUUUAUCUGAAAUAAAUGGUUCUAGUUUGAGUUCUCCCUGGAAGAUAGUAGGUGAGAUGUCGUGGGACUGGCACAGGCUUUGCUGCUUCUUCCAUAUUUCUGAGAUGCUUUUCACUUAAAAAGGAGGGGAGCUAGCUCAUGCUAUUUUUACUUUACUGAUAAAAGAAAGAUAUGGCCAGUGAAGUUAAGUUUAGAGAUUAAAGCUCAAGGUAACACACAUGUAUAUCCCUUUUUUUAAAAGAAGCAUAAAAGAGCCAUGAUCUGAGAUCACAAAAGAAAAUGAAUGCUUUAGUCUUGGCUUUGCCAUGUAUGUUAUCUUGAGCUUCAGAGUUAUUCUUGGUAAACAAAUGUAACUAUGGCUGCCUGCCUGCCUUCCUUCAAAGGUGGUAUAAGAGUGAACACAUAUAAUAAAUAUAAAAAUGUCCUGUA